UACGUAGGGUGCAAGCGUUAAUCGGAAUUACUGGGCGUAAAGCGUGCGCAGGCGGUCUGUUAAGUCAGAUGUGAAAUCCCCGGGCUUAACCUGGGAACUGCAUUUGAAACUGGCAGGCUUGAGUCUUGUAGAGGGGGGUAGAAUUCCAGGUGUAGCGGUGAAAUGCGUAGAGAUCUGGAGGAGUACCGGUGGCGAAGGCGGCCCCCUGGACAAAGACUGACGCUCAGGUGCGAAAGCGUGGGGAGCAAACGGG
rnacentral:rRNA from 1 species